rnacentral:lncRNA from 1 species
CUUCCCUGCUUCUCAGCACUUCUUUCCUCUGGGAUGCCUUCCUUGAUCGUUCCCCGCUGACUCACCCAUCUCUACCUUGGCCUUUUGAGGUCACUGGUUUCACAGCAGACACGCAGUGUGACUGAGGUCUAAGUUUAGAGGCUGAGUGUUAUUCAGGAAGCAGCCUGGGGCCCAGGAAAGGCAUGAGAAUUCACCACUGGCCACUAUCUCUUUGUACUUCCUGUGGACUAGUCUGUUACUCAUGGGCAGUCCUUUAGGUGACAAUUAAUCAACCUUGGUUGGCAGAUGAGAAAAAUGAGACUCUGAGAGACCAGCCAACUAGCCACACAGCAGAACUCUCAGCACCACAUGACGUAAGAAUGGCAGCGGCUUCAGGCUGAGGGCAAUAGGUCUCCCAAGGGAGCAGGACUGAAUGAAGCGGGGAUUGCCCUUCUGUUUGCAUGUGGACAGAGACCUUCACACCUUAACUUCCACAUGACUUGUGAAGAACCAUCCUUUGGGGGACACGGAGAUUGGUGGGGACGUAUCUGGAGGUCUGAGUCUCAGGGUACCCUGUGAGAGGCCUUCCCGAUUUCCUCACCAUAAAGACUCCAGCUUUGAGGUGCGGGUCACCAGAACUUGCCAUCUACUCCAUGAACUCGAGAGAGUCCUCCAGCCUGGUCUCCCAUUGGCU